rnacentral:rRNA from 1 species
AACGAACGCUGGCGGCAGGCCUAACACAUGCAAGUCGAGCGCCCCGCAAGGGGAGCGGCGGACGGGUGAGUAACGCGUGGGAAUAUGCCCUUUGCUACGGAAUAGUCUCGGGAACCUGGGGGUAAUACCGUAUACGCCCUUUGGGGGAAAGAUUUAUCGGCGAAGGAUUAGCCCGCGUUGGAUUAGGUAGUUGGUGGGGUAAUGGCCUACCAAGCCGACGAUCCAUAGCUGGUUUGAGAGGAUGAUCAGCCACACUGGGACUGAGACACGGCCCAGACUCCUACGGGAGGCAGCAGUGGGGAAUCUUAGACAAUGGGGGCAACCCUGAUCUAGCCAUGCCGCGUGAGUGAUGAAGGCCUUAGGGUUGUAAAGCUCUUUCAGCUGGGAAGAUAAUGACGGUACCAGCAGAAGAAGCCCCGGCUAACUCCGUG